CCCUGGUGGCUCGGUAGUAAAGGAUCUGCCUUCAAUGCAGGAGACCCAGGUUUGAUCCCUGGAUCAGGGC
rnacentral:tRNA from 1 species